UGCUUCUUUCUGAGGCUGUAACCUUUGUGGAAACAAGAACCAAGUCUGUUAUAAUCACUUCUCUAUUCCCAGCUUCCAGCACAGUGCCUAGUAUUUGCAGAAGCUGCUUAAAAAGUACUUCUUUAAUUGAGGAACCAAAAAUGAAAUGUGCACAAUUGAGAUUAAGUUAAAAUUGACAGGAAGGUGGUGGCUAUUUUGAGUCUAUGGUUAUAGGCUUGGUCUGUCCUCAUGCUGACUUGGUCUGCGUGCCUAGGUUCAAGAUUGCCUCCAUGGGGAAUAGGCCUGCCUGCACACGUCUUACAGCCAGGGAGAUUCUUACAAUAUAUCACUUGUACAUGAGUCCCUUUCUCAGGAUCUGCUUUUGUGGCAUUCACCCUAAGGUUGAACUCUCAGCAGACUGCAAAGAUGAACAGAAAUCUGCAAAAGAUACUGAGAAUAAACAUCCAGUGUCAGAGAACAAAAAUCAUCAUGACAAUGUUUUAGAAACUAAGCAAAGAAAGAGCUUCCACGGAAGGAACAGGCUGGAGUGCAAUCGCAUGAUCUCAGCUCACUGCAACCUCUGUCUCCCGGAUUCAAGAAAUUCUACUGCAUCAGCCUCCCUAGCAGCUGAGAUUACAGGCACAUGCCACCACAACCAGCUUUUUUUUUUUUUUAUUUUUAGUAGAGACAGGUUUUGUCAUGUUGGCUAG
rnacentral:lncRNA from 1 species